UACGAAGGGUGCAAACGUUGCUCGGAAUCAUUGGGCGUAAAGCGCACGUAGGCGGCCCGAUAAGUCGGAUGUGAAAUCCCACGGCUCAACCGUGGAACUGCCGGGCAUACUGGCGAUCUUGAGGCAUUCAGGGGCGAGCGGAACAAAUGGUGGAGCGGUGAAAUGCGUAGAUAUCAUUUGGAACGCCAAUGGUGAAAACAGCUCGCUGGGAAUGAUCUGACGCUGAGACGCGAAAGCCAGGGGAGCGAACGGG
rnacentral:rRNA from 1 species